rnacentral:lncRNA from 1 species
AAGUGCCACACAGCCUGCCUGUCUGCCUGCCUGCCUGGCUGCCUGCUCUGCCUUCUACUUUACUUCACAACGAUACAGCGGCUCGACGAAACUUCAUCCACAGGAGUGAGUCUGCUGAGUCUGUCUGAUGUUUGCAAAGGAUACACACAACUAAGACGAGAUAAGACAAGAGACAAACCCUACGUUUGAAAAUUACUAACAGGGGGAAAAAGAACAAGAAGAGGAAGAAGAAGAAGAAGAAAAUUCAACGUGAACAGUUGACUUGGUUGAUUGACUGGAAACUUAUGCGAAUGGAAAUAGAUAUCACUCGACGUAAUAACAAUGAAUACGUACAUACAUACAUAGAUGUGUGCAUACAUGCUUAGGGUCUUCCUUUCUCUGUCUUUUUCUAAGCCCUAUUAUCGGAUACGGAAGAUCAAGCAAACGUAGUCAGUCCUACCUAGCCAGAUGAUGAUACGCGUACUCGUUUAUGUUCCAAUUUAUGUGCACGUGGGUAGGAGCUAACGAGAAAGCCAAGUCGUGAAGAUAAAAGUGA